AAUGGCCAGUAAACACACAAAAAGAUGCUCAAUAUCAUUUGUCAUUAGAGAAAUGCAAAUCAAAGCCACAAUAUGAUACUAUUUCACAUCCAAGGAGAGAUAGUAAAAGUGUUGGAGAGGGUGUGGAGAAAUUGGAACCCUUGUACACUGUUAGUGGGAACAUAAAAUGUGAUAGCCAUUUUGGAAGUUAAUACAUGCUACAACAUAGCUCAUUAGAAAACAUGCUAAGUGAAAAAAGUCACAAAAGACCACACGUUGUAUGAUUCCAUUUAUAUGCAAUGUCCAAAAAAGGCAGAUCUAUAGGAACAGAAAGUAGAUUAGUGAUGGCUAGGAAGUGGAG